rfam:Danio rerio chromosome 22, GRCz11 reference primary assembly.
AGCAGAGAGGCGCAGCGGAAGCGUGCUGGGCCCAUAACCCAGAGGUCGUUGGAUUGAAACCAUCCUCUGCUA